UCUGCCUUAUACUAAGGAAUAACACAAAGAAAUUUGUGCUAAAGCCUUAUAAGCUUACACUAUCUUAUGAUAGAGUAAGAAAAACUUUAGUGGUAUAAGAUGAGCCCGCGUCCGAUUAGCUAGUUGGUGGGAUAACAGCCUACCAAGGCUACGAUCGGUAACCGGCCUGAGAGGGUGACCGGUCACACUGGGACUGAGACACGGCCCAGACCCCUACGGGAGGCAGCAGUGGGGAAUAUUGCACAAUGGGGGAAACCCUGAUGCAGCAACGCCGCGUGAAGGAUGAAGGUUUUCGGAUCGUAAACUUCUAUCAGUAGGGAUGAAAAAAAUGACAGUACCUAACUAAGAAGCCCCGGCUAACUACGUGCCAGCAGCCGCGGUAAUACGUAGGGGGCAAGCGUUAUCCGGAUUUACUGGGUGUAAAGGGUGCGUAGGUGGUAUGGUAAGUUGGAUGUGAAAGCCCAAGGCUUAACUUUGGGAUUGCAUCUAAAACUGCCAAACUAGAGUGCAGGAGAGGAAAGUAGAAUUCCUAGUGUAGCGGUGAAAUGCGUAGAUAUUAGGAGGAACACCAGUAGCGAAGGCGGCUUUCUG
rnacentral:rRNA from 1 species